rnacentral:tRNA from 1 species
AGGGACUUAGGGGAGCAAAUGACUGUUAAUCAUUGGGUCGCUGGUUCGAGCCCAGCAGGCGGAGCCA